CUGCAAGAUAGAGGUUGCGGUUUUCAAAAGUAGCGCGGUGAGGGCUCCGUUGGCCCUGCGACCCGCGUCAAAGGGAAAGCCGCCGAAGGAAACACGGGUACGGAACCGUCUUUCCUGGGCGCCGGGCACAUCAGCCCUGCGACUGUCGCCGGUCCUCCGGCGGAGUGCUGUCUGCUUU
rfam:Bacteroides capillosus ATCC 29799 B_capillosus-2.0.1_Cont157, whole genome shotgun sequence.